UGGGAGAACCAAGAGAUCCGUUGUCGAAAGUUGUGUAUAGUUUGUUGGCCAGUGACGGUCCAACCAAGUUCCACGUUCAUACUAACCAUUCGAGUUUGUAGCGAGGAAAGACCCCAAGAGAGGCCACAAAAAACUUCUCUGGAGCCUUUCUCCAAGACAGUGCACACGGGUUUGUGGAUGUAUAGUGGGUGUAGGCGGCCAGGGACACUUUUUGGCGUCCGUAUGGCCUGCCCAAAUCUUCACUAAUGAUCCUUCUGC
rnacentral:misc_RNA from 1 species